rnacentral:rRNA from 1 species
GAUUAUAAAUUUAAUUAUUAUUAUUGAUUUUUUAAAGUAUUAUUUUAUUUAUUAUUACAAAAGAAAAAUUUUUUUUUAUUAUAGUUUACUAGUAAAGUGAUUGAAUUUAUUUAUAUAUUAAUAAGAAAAAUUUAUUUUUUGUACCUUGUGUAUCAGGGUUGAUUAAUUUUAUAAUUAUUAUUAAUUUUUCUCGAAUUAAGAAGAGCUAAUUAUGUAUAUGUUUAAUUUUUUCAUAAAUUUUCAUAAUAUAUAAUUUGAAAUGAAAUGUUAUUCGUUUCUUAAUAUAUCUAGUUUUUUAAGAAAAGAAUUUAAUUCUCUUAUUAUUUAUUAUUAGUUAAUUUUUAGUUAAUAAUUUUUAGUAUGAAAUAAAUAAAGGGAUAAGCUUUUAUUUUGAUGAUUAAAAAUUUAUUUGGUUUUAUUUUUUGUAUAAUUUAAAUUGUUAAUCAUUUUUAUAAUAUAAUAGUUAAUUUUAUUUAAUUAAUGAUUUAUAUUUAUUUUAAUUUUUUUAUUAAAAAUUUAUGUUUAAUUUUUUAGCUUUUUUAUAAUGAUUAAAUUAGUAGAUAAAUAUGUAUUUAUUAUUUAUUUUUUAAGAUAAUAAAAAGGAACUCGGCAAAUAAAUUUUUCGCCUGUUUAUUAAAAACAUGUCUUUUUGAUUAUAAUUUAAGGUUUAAUCUGCUCAAUGAUUUAUUAAAUUGCCGCAGUAUUUUGACUGUGCAAAGGUAGCAUAAUAAUUAGCUUUUUUAUUGAAAGCUGGAAUGAAUGAUUGGACGAAAAAAUUUCUGUCUCUUUAUUAUUUAUUACUUAAUUUUACUUUUAAGUUAAAAGGCUUAAAUUUUUUUAAAAGACGAGAAGACCCUAUAGAGUUUUAUUUUUGUUUUUUGAUUGAUUUUUAGAAUUUAAAAUAUUUUAUAAAAUAAAAAAUUUAGUUGGGGUGACUGAAAGAUUAAUUAAACUCUUUUAAUUGAAAUCAUUUAUUUAUGAAUAAAGAAAUUAUUUUUAUAAAUUUAAAAUAAAUUACCUUAGGGAUAACAGCGUUAUUUUUCUUUAGAGUUCUUAUUGAAAGGAAAGAUUGCGACCUCGAUGUUGGAUUAAAAUUUAUUUUUGGUGCAGAAGCUGAAAUAUUAAGUCUGUUCGACUUUUAAAAUUUUACAUGAUCUGAGUUUAAACCGGUGUAAGCCAGGUUGGUUUCUAUCUUUAAAUUUUUAAUAUAUUUUAGUACGAAAGGACCAAAUAUAUAAUAUAUUAUUUUAUUUUGAAUAAUAUU